rnacentral:misc_RNA from 1 species
GGUUUAGUCAUCAAACCAAACACCUGAGCAGGAGAAAAUGAUUACAAAAGAAUAAAGAACUCAUAUUUAAUGAAAAUAAGACAAAGAAUCAGUGAGUAACCAAGUAUCAAGCUUUAGAUCAAAAGUCAUAUGAGAUGUAAACUAAAAAAAAAACUUUUAAUCAAUACUAUCACCUAUCACAAGAUAAAAAUCAAUAUUGGCCGAGUACAAAACAGAGAAGGAAAAUAAAUUAGAUAGAUAAAAAAAAUGGUUCCAUCUUUCUAGACAAUUUAAUUAGAUACAAAAUGCUUCCAUCUUUCACAUGUUCUAAAGUUUCAUUUUUUACAUUAAUUGAAUGAACUAGGACAUAAACUCAUUCUCUCAUUUUAGUGAACCAAUACGAAGACCAUACAACACAUAACCAAACCACUAGCAAUUGAACUUAAAAGAAGAAAUCAAUGGAUUGCACACAUGAGGAAAUCAAUGCAAAUAAACAAGAAGAACUCUACAUAUAGGAGCUUCGGGAUAUUAGCUUAUUACACUAUAAAUAUAGGAGUUUAGAGGGAGUGAUUAGUUCAAAUCCAACAUGUAAUCCUCUUAAAUAUGAUAAAAUACUCAGCCUCAAAUGCAUCCUAAAACAAAACUAUAAUCAACAAAAACAACAAUAACAAGUAGAAGAAACUCCAAGAAGGUAUCGAUAAGAAAGAAAACAACCAUCAAACAGAGUGUAAGAUAACCAAAAUACUUAAAGGACUCAUUCAAAACUAACUUAACUAUAUGGAAACAGGCGAAAGAACACUAGCAUUCCGAAUCAAAGAAAAGAGAACAUUAGUCCAAGACAUGAACAAUAGAGGAGAAACAGAACCAAAUAUCCAUUAAUACUCGAGUUUGAACCAAAGAACAGUAGACUACUCAAGCAAAACUAAAUGGAUACUCAAGCUUUAUCGAAACUAAUAAAUGACUUUAGAGUAGUAGCUCAUUGUUUCGACCGAAAAAAAAAACUCACAACAUUCAUGAUUAAAAAAUGAACAAAGAAGAGCUAAAAUGUAAAAGAGAAUCAUUUACCUCUUUCGCAGCAGCAAACUCAAAGUGGACGAGCUGGAGAGGAUGCUUUCACACUGAAAUAUGAUCUUGCAAAAUUUGACAAGCUUUUGCAACCCACAACAAACGGAAAAGAGAAAAACAAUAUUAUACCUAAAGUAUACUUUUGAAUGAUUUUUUGACUUUGGGAAGAUUUUUUUAUGUACCUUUAUAGGGAGGAAUUAGGUUUUUUCAAAUUGGGAGGGAAAAGGGAAAAGUCGG